CCAAUAGCGUAUAUUAAAGUUGUUGCAGUUAAAAAGCUCGUAGUUGAAUUUCGGGAUCAGUACGCUGGUCGUGCCUUCGGUAUGCACUGGUUUCACUGAUUCCUCCCUUCUGAAGAACCGUAAUGCCAUUCAGUUGGUGUGGCGGGGAAUCAGGAUUGUUACUUUGAAAAAAUUAGAGUGUUUAAAGCAGGCUCGCGCUUGAAUACAUUAGCAUGGAAUAAUGAAAUAGGACGUUUGAUCCUAUUGUGUUGGUUUCUAGGAUUGACGUAAUGAUUAAUAG
rnacentral:rRNA from 1 species